rnacentral:rRNA from 1 species
AAGGUCCCAAGGGUUCGGCUGUUCGCCGAUUAAAGUGGUACGUGAGCUGGGUUUAGAACGUCGUGAGACAGUUCGGUCCCUAUCUGUCGUGGGCGCAGGAUGUUUGAGGGGAUCUGACCCUAGUACGAGAGGACCGGGUUGGACGGACCUCUAGUGUUCCAGUUAUCGCGCCAGCGGUAAUGGCUGGGUAGCUACGUUCGGAAGGGAUAACCGCUGAAAGCAUAUAAGCGGGAAGCCCCCCCCAAGAUAAGACAUCCCUCUCCGUAAGGAGACUUAAGGCCCCUCGUAGACUACGAGGUUGAUAGGUCGGAUGUGUAAGCACAGCAAUGUGUUCAGCUAACCGAUACUAACCGGCCGUGAGGCUUGAUCAU